GAUGAACGCUGGCGGCGUGCUUAACACAUGCAAGUUGAACGUGAGAAUAGCAAUAUUUGAAAGUGGCAAACGGUGAGUAACACGUGGGAACCUGCCUCGAAGUGGGGGAUAACGAUUGGAAACGGUCGCUAAUACCGCACGGUUCUGCUCUGAUGGGAAUGGAGCAGAUAAAGAUUUAUCGCUUUGAGAGGGGCCCGCGGCCGAUUAGCUAGUUGGUAAGGUAAAGGCUUACCAAGGCGAUUAUCGGUAGCUGGUCUGAGAGGGCGAUCAGCCACACGGGAACUGAGACACGGUCCCGACUCCUACGGGGGGCAGCAGUGAGGAAUAUUGGGCAAUGGGCGAAAGCCUGACCCAGCAACGCCGCGUGGAGGAUGAAGGCUUUAGGGUUGUAAACUCCUUUGUGGGGAAAGAUGGAUGGUACCCCAAGAAUAAGUCACGGCUAACUACGUGCCAGCAGCCGCGGUAAU
rnacentral:rRNA from 1 species